UACGUAGGGGGCAAGCGUUGUCCGGAAUCAUUGGGCGUAAAGGGCGCGUAGGCGGCUUUGCAAGUGACGGGUGAAAUCCCUCGGCUUAACCGAGGAACUGCCUGUCAGACUGCAUGGCUUGAGACCGGGAGAGGUGAGUGGAAUUCCCAGUGUAGCGGUGAAAUGCGUAGGAUAUUGGGGAGGAACACCAGUGGCGAAGGCGGCUCACUGGACCGGUAC
rnacentral:rRNA from 1 species